GGAAGCAUCCUCUGAGAUAACUGGGUAAAGCGACACUCUGAAGGAGCCCCAGAAACAAAUUCCUGAGACCAAGAGAUGAGGAAGGACUGGCCCUUACCGUGUGUGCUGGGGCAAAUUGCAUCUUUCACACAGAGUUAACCAGGGGCUGAGCUUUAUGGCAGCCCACACACCUUCCUCCCUGCGCCCUCAGCGGGCGGACACUCCCGCUGCUCUCCAGCUCCCAGCUCUCAGGGAAUCCUGCGUGGUCCCACGGGUACGAACACGGGCUGGCCUUGCACGUGGAGAACAAGACACAGAAAAGAGGAGGGAGGACCUUGGGCCCUGGGGCUCCUUUCGGUGCAGGCACCGGGAUGCUCCCGUGGUUCCCGAACCCAACCAAACCGCAGGAAACGCAGCCUCUUCUGGGAAAACGACCACAGCGAGCGCUCAGUCAGGCCAAGCGGCAGUUGGAAAUUCAGGGUGGGAAACCCUGCCCAAAGCGGCACGGAGCUCAGAAGAAGGCGCAGAAUUUCGGUCAGCAGAAGUCACCCUGACAGCCCGGCUGUGUGCGGCCGCAGGCCUGAGGAUGCCCUCGCGAGGAACGCCAGGGCGUCCCGCACCCCUCUGCUCUAAAGCAUCCGGGGGGAAGAACGGAGGAGCAGGGAGCAACGGGGGUGACCCUCAGCUGCCGCAUCUGCAGCAAGAAACACGCUCACAGCCUCUUGCUGUAGCGGUGCUGGUACGUCAGGACAGCCAGCAGCAGAAAGCAGAGCGCAGUGGAGAGCUGGAGACAAAGAAGAGCAGAGAACCAAGGUGCUGCAGCUCAGCGUUCAGGUGCUGUUCCUAAUCGCCAGUACCACCCCCAGAAAACACUGGCAAGGACCUGAAAUAUCAGACGUCCAUCCAGACUUCAAAUAUGCUGAGCCUCGUAUCAACAUUCAAAGGAAACUGGACCAAAACCUCUCUAUGGGGCUGCAGGGGCUGUACUCCAAGCCCAGCCUCUGCUCACGUUUCGCUUCAGCUUUGCUUCACUUCUCUCCCUAAAAUACCCGCUCCUAUCUGAAACAGUUGCUCCAGCGAUCUGGGGUUAUCCAGUCUAAAUCUACCCCUUGCUAGGUGCCCUCAGCAUACAUUAGGUUGUACUUAAAAAACAUUCCAGUAUUCGCUUCCCACCAGGUCUCUUUUCACUCUUCCCCAAGAAGCAGAACCCAAGUGAGCUGCAGCCUGGCAGCCACGCAGCUCUCUCUGCUCCGUACAAGACCCAGCUUAUUCAAAUAGGGAAGCCGUGCCAACAUUUUUUUAAAAUGGAUGCUACUUAAAGGUAUUAAUGAGAUUGGGUGCGGUUAUCUUAACCUUAGGCAUCAGGCUCUGCUGAUCCCAGUGGGCACCAGCCAACUGGAAGCAUCCUUCAAUCCAAGCAGUUUUACCAGCUUUUAUUAGAAACACCAGCACAUUUCAAGUUUCCUCUUUUGAUCACAAAUAUAGUAUUUUCCUCUUUUUAAGUACACAGCAUGAGACACAGCAUCAGGGCUUUCCAUCUUUUUUACAGCAAUUU